UGCCUUUUUCUUCUCUUUUUGGUGGAUAGUCAAUUAGAGAGCUAGCUAGCAAUGAAAACCACUUGAAAUUUUCUAAGUAGUUGGAACAAUAUGAAUCCAUCUUCAUCAACUCAUAUAUAUCCAUAUAUAGAGUCGAAUAAGUGAAUAUUAUUGAUAUUAAUUUGAUAUCAUAUAUCUAUCUACUUUUGUUCAAUGCUUGCUAUACAGUUAGCUUAAUAUUGAUGAUGGUGUUUGAGAUUUGGGAAGCAAAAAAGCGAUGUUGGUGAGGUUCAAUCUGAAGACGGAUUUACGUGCAGAAAUAUGUAAAAUACGAUCUCAGAUUGAGCCGCGCCAAUAUCACUUUUAUUAUCGAUUGUUUUCCAGCUCAUCACAACUCAUCAUAUUCUCUUGUGAGAAUAUUCUCAAUUUAUUGAUUGAUAGAUCUUAUCAUGACUAACAUUAUUUCUUUCUUGUUUUCAAUCUUGAAGACAAACUAGCAAACCCUUGGAAGAAAAAGUGCAAUAAAAGUGAGUAUAUGGCACUUUCAUUCUCAUGGUACACACACAGGAAGAUCAUGAUGUGAAGGUGUUCAUUCAAUUGAGAAUUGAAACUUCAACUGGACGAGCUUUCAAAUUGGUGUUGAUAAAUUUAAGGUGGAGAUCAAAUAUAUCAUUUUGAAGAGAUGUUGCACUUAAUUGAGUUACUAAUUAUAUGUUACUAACUAUAUGUUACUAAUUAUAUGUGUUAUUUAUCUUCUUUAUUUGUUAACCGCACUUCUCAGAUCAUAUUGUCUCGAAUAUUGUUUCGAUAUUGUGUGUGACAUCUUGUAGUUCACUGAAGAGAAUUUUAAUUGACAUUCGGGUAGGCACUCUGUUAUAGUUGGAGGAACUCUAGGAUUUUUAAUAUUUUAUGUUCAAGAUAGACAAUAACAGAGAAGGAGGAUUUGUUAAUCGUCCAUCAAUUUUUGAUGGUACUAAUUUGGACUAUUGAUUGGCUCGCAUCGUACUUUUCUUAAGUCUAUGAACAACAAACCCUUGAAAUAAGUCAUCAAUAGAUGGAGUCUACCAAAGAUAAUAGUUGAAGACAACUCUAAAUCGGUGAAGUCCCGAAAAUAUUGGACACCUGCUAAAGAUGAAGCUAUUCUUGGAAACUCUUGUGCUCUUAAACUAUUUAUAAUGGAGUCAGAAAAAAUAUCUUCAAAAUCAUUAAUACAUGCACUAGUUCUAAGAAGGCUUGAGAAACUCUUUAAGUUUCUCAUGAAGGUACAUUUAAAGUUUGUAUGUCAAGAAUUAAACUCGUUGCCACAAAAUUUGAAAACUUAA